GUCUCUACAGCAACGCCUUAGCCAGGGGGUGCUCGGGUUUUCGGGACCGCGCGUGGCGCUCUCAGAUGACGUCACAUACCCGCGGCGCUUGCGUGACGUAACCCUGCUCAGUAAGAAGGCUCCGCAGGUCGGCAGAGAACACCACCACUAAUGGGAAGACUGCCCCCUGACCGGCACAUGGCCUCAGCAUUCAUCCACAGAUGCUCCUCAAAUUGUUUUAAAAACAGCUUUUUUUAAAAAGCUGUUUGUCUAUGAAGAUUAAAUGAGUUAAUAAUAUAAGCAAAGCACUUUGCAUGGCUACUGGGUGCAGUGGCUCACGCCUGUAAUUCCAGCACUUUGGGAGGCCGAAGCAGGUGGAUCACCUGAGGUCAGGAGUUCAAGACCAGCCUGAUCAACAUGGCGAAACCCUGUCUCUAUUAAAAAUACAAAAAAAUUAGCCGGGCGUGGUGGCACGUGCCUGUAAUCCCAGCUACUUGGGAGGCUAAGGCAGGAGAAUCGCUUGAACCUGGGAGGCAGAGGUUGCAGUGAGCCGAGAUCUCGCCGUUGCACUCCAGCCUGGUUGACAGAGCAAGACUCUGUCUCAAAAAACAAAAAAACCCAGCUUUUGUCCAGAGGUUGCUUUUUGUGGGUCUGUACGCUGAGGCCAAGUUCUAUGUAAACAGAGCCCUCCCACCUCACCUCCAAACAAUGCCUCUAAACCAUCACAAUCUGAAAGGAAAAUAAAUCCCUUUCUUCAAUGAUGACCUGAAGCUAGCCAAGGGCCGGGUGCUGGCAGGUGGCCUGCGAGACUGGGUCGGAUCCCGGGUUACUGUCUGAGGAGGGAUGCCGUGCUGUAAGGGUUGGGGAGCCAGUGUCUGGCUUCCUUGUCACCACAAGACCUGUGGUUUCCAGCUCUGUCUGCAUCCAGGUCCCACUAACCAACAGCAGGAGAGAAAACAGCCGUGCACACAGGCGGACGCGCACACGCACACCUGGCCCCCCAGACGUGCACAGCCCUCAGAGGAAGUGGAGCACCAGAUGUUCUGGGUUUCCUGUUCGACGCUUCCACAGCUGGUCGAGUCUGUGGUUGUGGUUUGUCUGUCUCGGGCUCAUGUGAGAGACAAAAGCUGGGCUGACGGGAAACCUCUUCUCUCGGCCCCCACUCCCCAGCUCUGACUGAUUAGGAAACCUGGCAGGUCAGAAAUUUCCUGAAACACCCAGAGCUGGAUUCUCCCAAGAAGAAGCUGAACCCCCAACUCCCAUCCCUGAGGAGCAGCCCCUGGGCUGAUGAUCAGGCCUUACAGAACCUGGGGCGAUGGAAACCUCUACAAAUAUCCCAUUUAGAAAGACCGCCAGCCCUGCUGAACAGAAUGAAACGGAGGCCAGGUUGCUAUGGUCUCUACUCCAAUGCCUGACAUUGAGCCGCUGCUGCAAAACACUCAGCACAUGAAGGAAUGAAUGAGGAACAGAGAACUUCACCUUUGGGGGUUGGGUGUACAAGCCCCAGCUGGGCCCCAAGUCCCAUAAAUAGCUUUGGAUUCCAACAUACAAGCAUUUGAUGCAGCGAGGUGCUGCCGACUUGCUCUGUGACUUGGAGCAAGUCAUUUAGCCUCUCUGGGCCUGGUGUCCUCAUCUGCAGAAUGGAGAUGAUAAUAUCUACUUCACAAAGGUGUGAAGGCCCUGUGAGACACCGCAUGUGGAUUUCCUCGACAUUGUUUGCCCAUCGUAACUGCUCCAGAGAGGCUGGGCUCCCUUUUCUCCUUGCAACACUGCCGUUUAUUUCAGGAGAUACUCUAAAAGGGAAGCAAGCUAAAACAAAGAACAACCAAAAACACUGAUCCCGGGACAACUGCCCGGCAGGACAGCAGAGCAAGGGUACUUGGUGCUGUUCGUUGGGGGGAUGUUGGGAGAAGGGGCUGGAGCCAUCCCAGGGUCUCCAGGCUCUGGAAGGGAGCACCCCAUGUCCUCCUCUGGGUGUGGAAUAGGGUGAGUGUCUUGGGGGUGGCGGGAGAACAGGCAGAGUGUGCUCUCACCCCUUAGCUCUGUAGUGAUUUUAAUGAUUAAGGCUACUGUUCAGUCUGCAUUUGGACCUGAGCAACAGGGACCCCUGCCCAGAGGUCCAUCCUUCAGCAGGGUGCACUGCGUCCCCCUCCACAGCAGCUGUCUCUAUGAGAUGAAGCAUCUGUCGCUGAGUGUAGCCAUCAGGUCCACUGCCCCUGAAAUAUGACUGACUAGGUUCAAUGUUGACUCUGACACUUAGAAGCUGUGCCACCUCGGGGCAAGUUACUUCAUCUCUCUGUGCCUUACUUUCUUCCUUUAUAAAAUGGUAAAAUAAUAACCACACCAUCAGUUGUCUAUGAAGAUUAAAUGAGUUGAUAAUAUAUGCAAAGCACUUAGCAUGGCUCCUGGCACAAGGGUCAGUAAACGUUAACUGUUCCACACA